GAUGAAGAACGCAGCGAAUUGCGAUAAGUAAUGUGAAUUGCAGAUUUUCAGUGAAUCAUCGAAUCUUUGAACGCACCUUGCGCCCUUUGGCUAUUCCGAAGGGCAUGCCUGUUUGAGUAUCAUGAACACCUCAACUCUCAUGGUUUGCCAUGAUGAGCUUGGACUCUGGGGGUCUUGCUGGCCUAUGGUCAGCUCCUCUCAAAUAAAUCAGCUUGCCAGUGUUUGGUGGCAUCACAGGUGUGAUAACUAUCUACGCUUGUGGUUUUCCAUCAGGUAACCUUCAGUGAUGGAGGUUCGCUGGAGCUCAUAAAUGUCCCUCCUCAGCGAGGACAGCUUUUUGAACAUUUGAUCUCAAAUCAGGUAGGACUACCCGCUGAACUUAAGCAUAUCAAUAAGCGGAGGA
rnacentral:misc_RNA from 1 species